AGCUGCCAGAGCUUCUGUUUACAUUUGUGAGAUACCCUCAGGUUUCUGUUUACCUCAGACUCUAUGAAUCCCUGGAGUUAUGUGUCAUCUUCUUUUUAUAUGGCUCGUCGGCUAAUAUAGAGGGAUUUAGCAACAGGAAGUUAAUUUACAGCUAAGAGCAUCAGGGAAAGGAGGGGAUAUGUCUUUUCUGUCCCACCUUAUGACACGCACAAGACUCAAAAGGCACAGAGGAAGGAACAAAACAGAGACGAAGAGCGAGCGCUAAUAUCCGUCCUGUGAACGUAAUCAUUCAUAAUGUGUAUUUUUGAGAUGUGACUCACACAGUGUCUCGGUGUCAGUCUCUCUUGCAUCUGUUGUGGCUUCAGAAAUCAUCUCCGAGGAGGUGAGUAAUGGCCACAGCGGGGAAAGAGGAAGGCAUCAGAUAUUCAACACAUCGAGUCAUCUCUCCUCUGCUUUCUGUACCUCAGGAGGAUCCAUAAACUUCAAGAAAAAACAUUAGCCUUGCAGAUAAAGAUGUGCCCCUAAAAAGCAACACAAGAGAGACGCUUUGAAGAUGAAGGCGCCCAUCCAUCUUUAUCAGAUUAACAAAAAAGUGAACGGAGAUUGUAAAUGGUGUGUUUCGCAUCCUUUCAGUAGUGUUAUGACUCUAGUUUUUAAGUAGCCCAACCACAAAACUGCCCAAAUUUGAAACGUAUUUUGGUCUCAGUGUUUUUGUCACCCUUUACCUGUUGGAAAUGAAUUGUGAAAACUGUGGAAGCAGCCGCACAGCAGAGGGUAUUAAACCUGCCCAUCCAGUCGUA